GAUGAACGCUAGCGGCAGGCCUAAUACAUGCAAGUCGAACGAGAACCUUUCCUUCGGGUGAGGGGACAGUGGCGCACGGGUGCGUAACGCGUAUGCAAUCUGCCUUUAUCAGGGGAAUAACCCGGCGAAAGUCGGACUAAUACCGCAUAACAUAAUUGGAUGGCAUCAUUCAAUUAUCAAACAUUUAUGGGAUAAAGAUGAGCAUGCGUGACAUUAGCUAGUUGGCGGGGUAACGGCCCACCAAGGCGAUGAUGUCUAGGGGAUCUGAGAGGAUGACCCCCCACACUGGUACUGAGACACGGACCAGACUCCUACGGGAGGCAGCAGUAAGGAAUAUUGGUCAAUGGAGGGAACUCUGAACCAGCCAUGCCGCGUGCAGGAAGACGGCCCUACGGGUUGUAAACUGCUUUUGUACCGGAAUAAACUCCCGAACGAGUUCGGGGCUGAAUGUACGGUAAGAAUAAGGAUCGGCUAACUCCGUGCCAGCAGCCGCGGUAAUACGGAGGAUCCAAGCGUUAUCCGGAUUUAUUGGGUUUAAAGGGUGCGUAGGCGGCUUUUUAAGUCAGGGUGAAAGACGUGGCUCAACCAUCGCAGUGCCUUUGAUACUGAAGAGCUUGAUUACACAUGAGGCAGGCGGAAUGUGACAGUAGCGUGAAAUGCAAUAGAUUAUGUCCACAGAAUCUCCGAUUGCGAGGCAGCUUACUAAAGUUGUAAAUGACGCUGAAGCCGAAAGCGUGGGUUCAAACCAGAUUAGAUCCCUGGUAGUCCACGCCCUAAACGAAUGAAUCUUCGAAGUUGGGGUAUCAGUCAGCGUCAAGCGAAAGCGUUAAAGUAUUCCCACCUGGGGAGUACGUCCGCAAGGAUGAAAUUCAAAGGAAUUGACGGGGGCCCGCACAAGCGGAGGAGCAUGUGGUUUAAUUCGAUGAUACGCGAGGAACCUUACCCGGGCUUGAAAGUUACUGAAGUAUCCCAGAGAUGGGUACGCCCUUCGGGGCAGGAAACUAGGUGCUGCAUGGCUGUCGUCAGCUCGUGCCGUGAGGUGUUGGGUUAAGUCCCGCAACGAGCGCAACCCCUGUGAAUAGUUGCCAGCAUGUAAAGGUGGGGACUCUAUUCAGACUGCCUGUGCAAACAGAGAGGAAGGCGGGGACGACGUCAAGUCAUCAUGGCCCUUACGUCCGGGGCUACACACGUGCUACAAUGGGAGGUACAGAGGGCCGCUACCUGGUAACAGGAUGCCAAUCUCAAAAAGCCUUUCACAGUUCGGAUUGAGGUCUGCAACUCGACCUCAUGAAGUUGGAUUCGCUAGUAAUCGCGUAUCAGCAAUGACGCGGUGAAUACGUUCCCGGGCCUUGUACACACCGCCC
rnacentral:rRNA from 1 species